rnacentral:rRNA from 1 species
UACGGGGGGGGCAAGCGUUGUUCGGAAUUACUGGGCGUAAAGGGCUCGUAGGUGGCCAACUAAGUCAGACGUGAAAUCCCCAGGCUCAACCUGGGAACUGCGUCUGAUACUGGAUGGCUUGAGUUUGGGAGAGGGACGCGGAAUUCCUGGUGUAGCGGUGAAAUGCGCAGAUAUCAGGAGGAACACCAAUGGCGAAGGCAGCACUCUGGGACGUGACUGACGCUGAGACGCGAAAGCGUGGGGAGCAAACAGG